GACGAACGCUGGCGGCAUGCCUAACACAUGCAAGUCGAACGGAGAUUAUUUCGGUAAUCUUAGUGGCGAACGGGUGAGUAACGCGUGGGCAACCUGCCCUCUAGAUGGGGACAACAUCCCGAAAGGGGUGCUAAUACCGAAUGUGACAUCAAUCUCGCAUGAGGAUGCUGUGAAAGAUGGCCUCUAUUUAUAAGCUAUCGCUAGAGGAUGGGCCUGCGUCUGAUUAGCUAGUUGGUGGGGUAACGGCCUACCAAGGCGAUGAUCAGUAGCCGGUCUGAGAGGAUGAACGGCCACAUUGGGACUGAGACACGGCCCAGACUCCUACGGGAGGCAGCAGUGGGGAAUCUUCCGCAAUGGGCGAAAGCCUGACGGAGCAAUGCCGCGUGAGUGAUGAAGGAAUUCGUUCCGUAAAGCUCUUUUGUUUAUGACGAAUGUGCAGAUUGUGAACAAUGAUCUGUAAUGACGGUAGUAAACGAAUAAGCCACGGCUAACUACGUG
rnacentral:rRNA from 1 species